AAGGCCAGGCUGGUCUAUAUAUGGAAGAAUGAGUUCCUGCCUCAAAAAAAAAUUUUUUUAAAUCCCCUUCAUGGUCCAAUUUUAAAAGGCUUCCUCCAUUCCUUAGUUCCGUGGUGCCGUCUUCUAGCUUCAAAACCAGCAACAGAUGGUCCUUUUACUUAAUGUCGUGUCUCUGAUUCUAUCACUCUUAUCUCCUCUUUCCCACUUAGAAGAACCCUUGUAAGCAGCUGAGUAUAGUGAUGUAUGCCUUUAAUCCCAGCACUCAGGAGUCAGAGGCAGGGGGAUUUCUGUAAGUUCGAGGCCAGCCCUGUCUACAGAGUGAGUUUUAGGACAUCCAGAGCCACCUAGUGAGACCCUGUCUCGAUAAACAAACAAAUAAAUGGAACUUCAAACCUUUAAGUUUUGAGAUAGGGUGCUGUACGUCAGCUCACACUGCCUUCAACUCACCGUGUAGCCUAGCAGAUCUCGACCUUAAGAUACCGCAGAGCAGGGUGAAUGCAGACUUUCAAUGGGUAAAGGCACUUAAGCCUGAUGACCUGAGUUCUAGGCCCCAGGACCCACAUAGUGGGAGGUGAGAAACAACACCAAAGUUGUCCUUUGAUGCCUACACACAUGCAGUGGCACAGCUCCCCACCCCACCCCCAACAAAAAUAAUUUAAAUGUUUUUUUCUAACAUCCUCUUGAGCCUUUAGUCUCUUGAAUAAUUGAGUUUACAGGCCCAUACUUCCAGACCUAGACGCCUCUCUAUUUCAAAUUAAACUGAUUAGCAAACCCCAUCCCUUGUUGCCACAGAACAUAGCGAAGUCAUGGGUUCUGUGCAUUAGAAUGUGGGUAUCUUUACUCCACCAUGGACUGUUACUCUGCCUACCACAUUCAGCCACUCCUCCAGGUUUUCCAAACAUCUCAAGCACAGACAGUGGACCAGGCCAGACCACAGGUGGGAUAUGCCUGUCAUUGUGUAGUCCCUCCCCCCUGCUUCCUCCUCCUUUAGCUCAGCCUGUCCUGGGCUCCUCUCCCAUCCUCCUGUUCCCAGUUCUUGGAAGGGAGAGUGUAGGGCUGGACAAUGGGAAAAGGAGUGUGCAGAUUGGGGAGAGGAAGGCAGGGUCAGAUGUACCCCAGCUGUGGGAGCCCAGAGGGCUUGGCCUUUCCUACCAAAUACCUGUACUUUGCAGAGGUGCCCGCCAGUGCCUUGCCCGAGUUCUGCAGAAUCUGAAGGCAGCUCUGGCCUGAU
rnacentral:lncRNA from 1 species